GUGCAUUUGGAAAAGAGGUCUGUCCCAGUGAGCAGUCAUAAAAGAACGGUGUGUGUCUGGGCUUAGAGGAUUGAGUAGAAGCUGCAUGUGAUUCUGGAUGAUGGGAAAUCUUUAGGAAUCAGUAACAGGCACAGCCCUCACCCCACCUCCUCCUCCUACCAUUUCUCUGAAGAGAUUUUGAACAAGGGAGAUCCCUUCAGCACCUGCUCAGGUUUUCAGAGGGUCAGAGGGGUGCCCAUUUAUUCAGUGCCAUCCCACUGGCACCAGGAAGACUUCCAUUAUAUGCCUCUGCAGGGAGGGCGCUUAAGAAUGUGCACUGGCUAUUCAUUCCAGAGUUAAUGCAUGACUAUUGGAAUGAAAAUGACUAGGCUGGGUUAUAGAAAGAAAAGGUAGAUGCCAGUUACUGCAUGGUGACGUACUUGACACUGUCAGUCAGCACUCCAGUCAUCAAAUCGAAUAUUCCCACUCUGUAAUGCAUGUAACAUCACCUGUCUGCGAUAAACUCUAAUUGUCUGAUACAACUGUUCACUGGGCCAGUGGCGGAUGUUCCUCUCUAUUCGGCCAGGCCUCAGAUGCACAACGGCUAUUUUAUCAUGCAGAUAGGAGCAGGUUGGGCGUGGGGCAACUGAAGAGCCAUCUGAAAAGGAUGACCAAAUGGCUGGCAGCAGUGUAGGAGGGGUGAAUCCAUUGACUUCAGCAUUUCCAAAAUGGCUUUUUAAUGCCUUGCUUCAGACCCCAGACAUUGGCUAAUAGCUUCACCCUUUCAGGAGUUAAAAAGAAGGCCAAAAAGAAACCAAUAAAAGGGCAUGUGGUCUGAUUAAUGUCUUACUGAAUUAAAAGGGAUUUUUCUGGACUGUUUUUUUGCUCACACUUAACCUCUUUUUUUUGCUGUUUUUUAUACCUUUUUGGGUUCUCUUUAAGACUGCAAGUCAUUUUCAAUUCCUUUUGGUAUUGAUCUUCCAAUAGAAAUCAGUUUUGUAAUUAGCUGCAAAUUAGACCCAGUACUCUGGGUGAGGGCUGUCCCCCUGAUUUAUCACCAGUGUAAUUCACCACGAUUGGAGAGAAAUUAAAAUGAACUCAAUUAAGGCCACAGCAUUUGCUUUAUAUGCAUCCACUUGGAGUUUCAAGGGAAAAAUUAAUAGUCGCUUGUUGUUUAAUAGUCCAUUGAAAGUAAAUAAAGGUUAGGUCUAAGACGGCUGUUUAUAAAAAAGAUAUAAAAGGAUCUGACCCUUGUAUUAUUUCAAGAAGGCAUAAAAUGUGCUUCUGGCUGUAUUUGGGCUUGAUGAACUAAGGCUUAUAAAAUAAUAUGUUUAAUUUAAUUUAUAUAGCACCUUUCCCAAGCUCAAGGACGCUUUACAAGAUACAGUAUUUCAAGACAGAUGAAAUAUAGUGUAACAUACAUAUACAUAUU